GGACGUGUGGCCCAAUGGCAAGGCGCUUGACUACGAUUGAUUAAGUAAUCAAGAGAUUCCAGGUUCGACCCCUGGCACGUUCA